rnacentral:lncRNA from 1 species
UGAUGGAGAACAGAGUUAUGGAGACAGAGUUAUGGAGAACAGAAAAAAAAAAAAAAAGUUAUGGAGAACAGAGUUAUGGAGAACAGAAGUGUGGAGAACAGAGGUUAUGGAGGAAGGACAUAGUUAUUGAGGACAGAGUUAUGGAGAACAGAGUUAUCGAGAAACAGAGUGAUGGAGAAAGAGUUAUGGAUAACAGAGUUAGGGAGAACAGAGUUAUUGAGAACAGAGUUAUGGGAACAGGUUAUGGAGAACGAGUUAUGGAGAACAGAUUAUGGAGAACAGAGUUUUGGAGGACAGAGUUAUGGAGAACAGAUUAUGGAGAACAGAGUGAUGGAGAAAAUUAUGGAGAACAGAGUUAUGGAGAACAGAGUGAUGGAGAACAGAGUUAUGGAGAACAGAGUGAUGGAGUACAGAGUGAUGGAGAACAGAGUGUAUGGAGAACAGAGUUUAGGAGAACAGAGUGAUGGAGACAAGUUAUGGAGAACAGAGGGAUGGAGAACA